rnacentral:rRNA from 1 species
GCCUAACACAUGCAAGUCGAGGGGCAUCACGAGGUAGCAAUACUUUGGUGGCGACCGGCGCACGGGUGCGUAACGCGUAUGUAACCUACCUAUAACAGGGGCAUAACACUGAGAAAUUGGUACUAAUUCCCCAUAAUAUUCGGAGAGGCAUCUCUCCGGGUUGAAAACUCCGGUGGUUAUAGAUGGACAUGCGUUGUAUUAGCUAGUUGGUGAGGUAACGGCUCACCAAGGCAACGAUACAUAGGGGGACUGAGAGGUUAACCCCCCCACACUGGUACUGAGACACGGACCAGACUCCUACGGGAGGCAGCAGUGAGGAAUAUUGGUCAAUGGACGCAAGUCUGAACCAGCCAUGCCGCGUGCAGGAAGACGGCUCUAUGAGUUGUAAACUGCUUUUGUACGAGGGUAAACUCACCUACGUGUAGGUGACUGAAAGUAUCGUACGAAUAAGGAUCGGCUAACUCCGUGCCAGCAGCCGCGGUAAUACGGAGGAUUCAAGCGUUAUCCGGAUUUAUUGGGUUUAAAGGGUGCGUAGGCGGUUUGAUAAGUUAGAGGUGAAAUCCCGGGGCUUAACUCCGGAACUGCCUCUAAUACUGUUAGACUAGAGAGUAGUUGCGGUAGGCGGAAUGUAUGGUGUAGCGGUGAAAUGCUUAGAGAUCAUACAGAACACCGAUUGCGAAGGCAGCUUACCAAACUAUAUCUGACGUUGAGGCACGAAAGCGUGGGGAGCAAACAGGAUUAGAUACCCUGGUAGUCCACGCAGUAAACGAUGAUAACUCGUUGUCGGCGAUACACAGUCGGUGACUAAGCGAAAGCGAUAAGUUAUCCACCUGGGGAGUACGUUCACAAGAAUGAAACUCAAAGGAAUUGAUGGGGGCCCGCACAAGCGGAGGAACAUGUGGUUUAAUUCGAUGAUACGCGAGGAACCUUACCCGGGCUUGAAAGUUACUGACGAUUCUGGAAACAGGAUUUCCCUUUGGGGCAGGAAACUAGGUGCUGCAUGGUUGUCGUCAGCUCGUGCCGUGAGGUGUCGGGUUAAGUCCCAUAACGAGCGCAACCCCUACCGUUAGUUGCCAUCAGGUCAAGCUGGGCACUCUGGCGGGACUGCCGGUGUAAGCCGAGAGGAAGGUGGGGAUGACGUCAAAUCAGCACGGCCCUUACGUCCGGGGCUACACACGUGUUACAAUGGUAGGUACAGAGGGUCGCUACUCCGUGAGGAGAUGCCAAUCUCGAAAGCCUAUCUCAGUUCGGAUUGGAGGCUGAAACCCGCCUCCAUGAAGUUGGAUUCGCUAGUAAUCGCGCAUCAGCCAUGGCGCGGUGAAUACGUUCCCGGGCCUUGUACACACCGCCCGUCAAGCCAUGGAAGCUGGGGGUGCCUGAAGUUCGUGACCGCAAGGAGCGACCUAGGGCAAAACCGGUAACUGGGGCUAAGUCAUAACAAG